AAAGAGAACACGGGCAGGGGAGGGGCAGAGGGAGAGAGAGAGAAAGAGACAGACAGAGGACCUGAAGUGGCCUCUGAGCUGUGGGCACAGAGCCCGAUGUGGGGCUCGAACUCACAAACUGUGAGCUCAUGACCUGAGCUGAAGUCCGACUCUUAACCGACUGAGCCGCCCAAGUGCCCCUACAAGUGCAUGUAUUCUAGAAGGGACUGGGGGCCUGCACGACUGGGUCUUUGAGGGAGGAAGGGUGGGGAGCGCUGCAGGCUCAGAUUGUGGGUCCUGGGAAGGACAAGGGCUGGGCUCUUGGACGGUGAACUGCUGAAAGCUGGAGGAAGGAAGUUGGGGGCCUCUCGAAGCUAACUAAGGUGGUGCCUGCUAGGUUCUGCGUGGGGAAGUGGCAGUUUGGGGGUGAGGUCCCGGAGAAAGUGGUGGUGAGACCGUCAGACUCCUGACCUGACACUGUCCUGCAGCCUCCCAGGCUGGACUUUGGCUCUGCCACAGCACCACCCAGCUCCACGCCCAUCCCCUGCUCCCUUUUCAACCUCUCCCACAGCCCCCAGGCCCAGGACUCGGGAGUGCCAGAGGGAGGAGGUUCAGGACAGGGCAGGUUCCUCACCGGAGAAAGAGAAAGAGAAAGAGAGAGGUUCGUGGCUCUCUACUUGCCCUGCAGAGCCCGGCAUGUGGGGCUACCUGUCCCUGCUGCCUGCUUUCCUGGCCGUCUGGGCUAUCACUGGAGUCUGGACUGUUUUUGCCCUUGCAGUGGCCAACAGGGCUGUGAACCUCACCGAGGGUUUCCCCUAUAUCAGAGCUGCAUCUUCAGCCAGCUGCUCAACAUGGGAGCUGCUAUGGGAGUCCGGGUCCGGGGCUCCCGCCCACUUCCCUCUCCUCCCAGCUGCCUGGAUCUGCAUUAUCCGUUACCACCAGCUCCGGGACUUGGGGGUCGGAAAGUGGCUUAACCUGCUGAUCCUGUGGACUGGACUCCUGUGUGCCCUGGGCACCUCCGUGGUGGGCAAUUUCCAGCAAAAGAACCAGCUGCCCACGCACCUGACAGGGGCCUUCUUUGCCUUCUUCGUGGGCAACCUGUACUUCUGGAUGCAGCAUUUACUCUUCUGGUGGAUGAAGAGCCUGCCCCAGCCUGGGCCUCCCUGGAUCGGGCCACUCCGCCUGGGCCUCUGCAGCCUUUGCACCAUCCUCAUGGUGACCAUGGUCAUCCUCCACUCCUGGCUGCUGCGCUCGGCCUCCGCCGCCUGCGAGUGGGCCGUGGCCAUGCUGCUGUUCACGCUCUUUGGCCUGUUUGCUGUGGACUUCUCCGGCCUGGACGGCUGCACCCUGACUCUCCGGCCGGGCUCCAGCCUCAGCUCCCCACCCGCCUCCCCACUCUCCCUGCAGAUCCCCCUGUGAACGGCAGUCCGCUCGGUGUGGUCUGACCCCGGUGCUGCGAUCGAUCGCGGCCACCCGGGAAGUGAGAGGCCAAGGCCAGCCAGCCAUCCCUGCUCAAGGCUAUUUAUUAUUAUUAUUAUUAAUUUUUUUUUUUUUUUUUUUUUUUUUUUGCCGCCGGCGGAAUCAGAGACACGGACGCAGGCAGGGUCACGCGAAACCAGAAUUCCUUCCGGAGAGCAAAUCCGUACAGAAGGAGGAAGCAGUCUGGCCUCAGUACCCUCACGGCUGCCAACCCCCAAGGAACAUGCUCCGGCAGCCGCACGGGGCUGGAAGCCUGGGGAGACGGUUGCCGGGAGGACACAUCUGCAGCCGGACCUGGCGAUCUCAGGAAGGCAGGUCACACAUCCUGGGCCCCUCCAAGCUGUGUGACUGUGGGAACUGGGCCAAAUGAGUCCCGGUGAGAGCCGGCGGCCCACCCUCAGGAGGCGUCCUCACAGACUCUGGCUAGGACGCUAUUCGCUAAGGGACAGCCUGUCGCAGCAGCAGCAGCAGCUCAGAUUUGGGGAUGACAGCCAGAGGUCCCCUUUCCUUCCUCCCAACCCUGGUUGUUAGGGAGGACGCUCCUUGGCAAUAGGGCCCGGGGGAGCCUACAUGGGCCAUUUGGGGGUCUGAACAAACCCGGAUGGUAGAUUCCCCUUCUCCAGAACACACUUCCAGAACUUCUGUCAGCAGAAAGUUCCACUACGCCCGACAAUGAGACUACUCAUCCUCUUGGGGACCCCUGGAGGUGCCCUCCCUAGCAACGAGGCCUUCUCGGUCAGGAUGGCCAGGUUCCCUGGAUGGAGCUCGCACAAACCGGAGCCCUGGGGGGCACUCGUUCAGCAGGGGGUCUCCCCUCCAGCCCACAGGAUCAAAGAGGGAGACAUUGCAGCCCCCACCCCCCCACACCUGCCAGGGCCUGCACGGAGGGCUGGUCGUGAGUACUCAGCAGCUGUGCCUGGAUGGUCUCCACAACUCGCUUGAACCGACGGCUGGGACCUGGAAGGGGUAUGGAGACAGACUGACUUGGGGACCGACCGGGACAAGGAAGGCCCUCCCACCCUGUGAAACCCAGCAAAGGACUCCUCUCGGUCUCAACUUCCCCGCCCUGUGUUGGGCAUAAAACUAAACUUCGGUCUGCAAAGGGGACUAAGAAAGGUCUGAGUUGAAAUAAUGAUGGGUGCCGUUUUCCACUUAAAUAGGUCCUGUUCCUUGUUAGUUUCAAGGUGAGGUCAUGUAGAGCCAGAAAUGCAAGAAAAGAAACGGGAAGUAAAAUAAAAUCUUAAAAUCGA